GACGAACGCUGGCGGCGUGCCUAAUACAUGCAAGUCGAACGCAGUGGGGACGGGUGAGUAACACGUGGGUAACCUCCCAUCAGAGGGGAUAACACUUGGAAACAGGUGCUAAACCGAUACUGAUGGAUGGACCCGCGGUGCAUUAGCUAGUUGGUGAGGUAACGGCUCACCAAGGCCACGAUGCAUAGCCGACCUUGGAGUGUGUUCGUCCCCACUGGGACUGAUACACGGCCCAGCCUCCGACGGGAGUCAGCAGUGGUGAAUCUUCGGCAAUGGACGAAAGUCUGAACGAGCAACGCCGCGUGAUUGAAGAAGUUUUUCGGAUCGUAAAACUCUGUUGUUAGAGAAGCGGUAUCUAACCAGAAAGCCACGGCUAACUACGUGCCAGCAGCCGCGGUAAUUC
rnacentral:rRNA from 1 species